rnacentral:other from 1 species
AAGUAACUGAAAUGUGCGUGGCGGUAAGUUCAUUUUUUAACCGCAAACAUUUUAUAAGGGAUGUCGAAAGUCCAUUGAUGUCCGAUGUCAGGCCCCCCAAAGGUUUUGCCUUUCGGCCAGGGGAAGGCAGAUAGACAAGGCAGACAACCCACCUGCUCACGUAGCGGGUUCUAAAACUCUUGCCAAGACGGCAUUUCGGUGUUUUG